rnacentral:rRNA from 1 species
GACGAACGCUGGCGGCGUGCUUAACACAUGCAAGUCGAACGGAAAGGCCCUGCUUUUGUGGGGUGCUCGAGUGGCGAACGGGUGAGUAACACGUGAGUAACCUGCCCUUGACUUUGGGAUAACUUCAGGAAACUGGGGCUAAUACCGGAUAGGAGCUCCUGCUGCAUGGUGGGGGUUGGAAAGUUUCGGCGGUUGGGGAUGGACUCGCGGCUUAUCAGCUUGUCGGUGGGGUAGUGGCUUACCAAGGCUUUGACGGGUAGCCGGCCUGAGAGGGCGACCGGCCACAUUGGGACUGAGAUACGGCCCAGACUCGUACGGGAGGCAGCAGUGGGGAAUAUUGCACAAUGGGCGGAAGCCUGAUGCAGCAACGCCGCGUGCGGGAUGACGGCCUUCGGGUUGUAAACCGCUUUCGCCUGUGACGAAGCGUGAGUGACGGUAAUGGGUAAAGAAGCACCGGCUAACUACGUG